rnacentral:rRNA from 1 species
CACUGCCGAGAAAAGCCUCUAGAUAGAAAAUAGGUGCCCGUACCGCAAACCGACACAGGUAGUCAAGAUGAGAAUUCUAAGGUGAGCGAGCGAACUCUCGUUAAGGAACUCGGCAAAAUGACCCCGUAACUUCGGGAGAAGGGGUGCUCUUUAGGGUUAACGCCCAGAAGAGCCGCAGUGAAUAGGCCCAAGCGACUGUUUAUCAAAAACACAGGUCUCUGCUAAACCGUAAGGUGAUGUAUAGGGGCUGACGCCUGCCCGGUGCUGGAAGGUUAAGAGGAG